rnacentral:rRNA from 1 species
GACAGAGGUGCCGAGCGUUAGGCGGAAUCACUGGGCUUAAAGCGUGUGUAGGCGGACUUGUAAGUACCUUGUGAAAUCCCACAGCUCAACUGUGGAACUGCUUGGUAUACUGCUUGUCUUGAGCCACUUAGGGGCAGUCGGAACAGACGGUGGAGCGGUGAAAUGCGUUGAGAUCGGAAGGAACGCCCGUGGCGAAAGCUAGGUCCUGGACGUCUUCUGACGCUGAGACGCGAAAGCCAGGGGAGCGAACGGG